rnacentral:lncRNA from 1 species
AAUUACAUUUUUUCCUCUUGUUGUUUUAGGUUUAGAUUUAAGCAAUAGCCAAUUAGCCAAUAGCACUUGUACUUUCCUUUUUUAAGUUUUGUUUUUGGCAAUAAUAUCAAUAGAUCUUGACUCGAAAGGCAAGUUUCCGUGUGCUUUUAAAUGUUUUCCUGAGCAAUUUGUAUAAGGACAUAGUUAGCUAUAUUUGGAUGGUCUGAUUCAAUUUCAAGCUCGGUGUUUUUGAUUUAAAGUAAAACCGACAUUGAAAUCUAGACCAAAUGAUUUUAAUCGGACAGUUAUGAUGUGUUUGCACAUAAUCUGAAUCCUUGCAUAAGACUCUUUUUCCUUCUGCCAAUGUUUUCUGGGACAAACCAGAAUAACUGCAGGCUUAUUGUAUAAUACAUUAUCUUAAAAUUUCUUUCUGAUUGUCAUCAUAUACAUUAGCUACUUGUUGAUUGCUCAAUUGAUAUUCUAGGUUCAAUCUACCAAUCCAGUAUCGCAGGUUUCGUCUUACGUGAA